GAUCGUACCGUCGGAAAGCUGGCUCCGUGAAGUCGUAGGCGGACGGGUGAGUAACACGUGGGUAACCUGCCUGUAAGACUGGGAUAACUCCGGGAAACCGGGGCUAAUACCGGAUGCUUGAUUGAACCGCAUGGUUCAAUCAUAAAAGGUGGCUUUUAGCUACCACUUACAGAUGGACCCGCGGCGCAUUAGCUAGUUGGUGAGGUAACGGCUCACCAAGGCGACGAUGCGUAGCCGACCUGAGAGGGUGAUCGGCCACACUGGGACUGAGACACGGCCCAGACUCCUACGGGAGGCAGCAGUAGGGAAUCUUCCGCAAUGGACGAAAGUCUGACGGAGCAACGCCGCGUGAGUGAUGAAGGUUUUCGGAUCGUAAAACUCUGUUGUUAGGGAAGAACAAGUACCGUUCGAAUAGGGCGGCACCUUGACGGUACCUAACCAGAAAGCCACGGCUAACUACGUGCCAGCAGCCGCGGUAAUACGUAGGUGGCAAGCGUUGUCCGGAAUUAUUGGGCGUAAAGCGCGCGCAGGCGGUUUCUUAAGUCUGAUGUGAAAGCCCCCGGCUCAACCGGGGAGGGUCAUUGGAAACUGGGGAACUUGAGUGCAGAAGAGGAGAGUGGAAUUCCACGUGUAGCGGUGAAAUGCGUAGAGAUGUGGAGGAACACCAGUGGCGAAGGCGACUCUCUGGUCUGUAACUGACGCUGAGGCGCGAAAGCGUGGGGAGCGAACAGGAUUAGAUACCCUGGUAGUCCACGCCGUAAACGAUGAGUGCUAAGUGUUAGAGGGUUUCCGCCCUUUAGUGCUGCAGCAAACGCAUUAAGCACUCCGCCUGGGGGAGUACGGUCGCAAGACUGAAACUCAAAGGAAUUGACGGGGGCCCGCACAAGCGGUGGAACAUGUGGGUUUAAUUCGAAGCAACGCGAAGAACCUUACCAGGUCUUGACAUCCUCUGACAACCCUAGAGAUAGGGCUUCCCCUUCGGGGGCAGAAUGACAGGUGGUUGCAUGGUUGUCCUCAGCUCCUGUCCUGAAAAGUUUGGGUUAAGUCCCGCAACGAGCGCAACCCUUGAUCUUAGUUGCCAGCAUUCAGUUGGGCACUCUAAGGUGACUGCCGGUGACAAACCGGAAGGAAAGGUGGGGGAUGACGUCAAAUCAUCAUGCCCCUUAUGACCUGGGCUACCACCGUGCUACAAUGGGGCGAAACAAAGGGCAGCCAAACCUCCGGGCUUAGCCAAUUCCCCAAAUCUUUUUCUAUUUUGGAUACCAGUUUGGAACCCAACGGCGGGAAACGGGAAACUCUCUAAUUCCGGUAUAAAUAUGCCCCGUGAAAAAAUUUCCCGGGCUUGGUAAACCCGC
rnacentral:rRNA from 1 species